UAACUGUAAAUAUUAGUGUUGAGUCCUCACAUGCAUGCACAAUUUCUAUUGGUAAAGGACUCCCAGUGGGACUCCAUCUUCUAUACGUUAAGGUCACUCGAGUGGGACCCCCAGUGUCCCCCCCCUCCCCGCGGUGUUAUUAACAUGCGUCACAUUAUUCCCCCCACCCUUUAUUUCGUUUUAGUGCCUAACGUCUCUAGAGCCCAUGCUGAACACAUGUACUUAGUUCUCUCGAGUCCUGGUGUUUCUCAUGUCUACGAAAUCGAGCGACAAUCAUCGUCUAUACGCUUCUCCUUCAUUGCUUUGCAGAGUUGAGAAGGAGUGAGCCUUGAUAGAUUUGUGGCAAAAAGGGGGAGUUAGAGGAGCUGCGCUACUGAGGGGGAGUUGAAUGAUUUUUUAUUUUUUUUUAAAGAAUUUUAAGAUUUAGGGGGAGAACUGAAAUAUCAUUUUGCUUGGGUCUAUAUCAAGUACAAUCUUAACUUUCUGAUCAACUGUUGGUUAGAUUUGGUACUUUUCCUAGACAUGACUGUGAUGUUAAAUUACUACGAUGAUUCUUUAGAAUUUUAGUCGCUGCUUUUAUGUUGCUACUUUUUUUUUUGAUAGAAAAGUACUUCAUUUCAUAAAGGCAGGCAUAACACCUUAAGAUAGGCUACUCUUUUGUGCUGUUACUUGUGUGUUCGGAAUUAUGUGUUUCUUGUGGUGUUUUCUAAGUUUUUGACAGGUUCAAGUUACAUUCAAUAAGUACUUGGUUUUGUUACCAAUCCGUCAAAGGAAGAGAUUGAAGAUGUGAAUUUCAAGAGUUUGUCUAGCAUUAGGUGACUAAGAUGAUAAACAUCAUCGUCUUGAGUUUAAAUUAUUUGAGUUGUUGAAUGUAAAGUAUUUUGAGUUUGUUUAGAGUUUGUAAUAUUAAGUGUUUUAAAGAAGUCAAAACAUAUAAUUCCAAGUCUCAAGGUUCUUAUCUAUUGAAAAGUUUGAAUUUGAAACGGCUAAAAGUUUGUGGAGAUAGUUUCCUGCGGUUAGCAAACUGUUAGCCAAACAGUCGUGAUGAAUUCAAUCUAUCAGUAGAAUUUCACUGGGACUUGGAAAUUGCUUCCAAAAUAUACUUAAAUUGUGCUACUAAUUAGGAAUAAUAGAGAUUCAAUUCUGGAUAUUUUGAGAGCACUUCCCAGUGCUUAUUUUGGUGA